AAGCCAGCAAAUUAAUUGGUCUGCUUAUCUGAAUGUGUUUCUGCUGAAAUAUAGAGAGCUGGCAACAGUGAUGCCAUGUUAGGACAGUCAAGGAUAGUCGAGGUUGUUAAGGUCCCUGAAAAUGGCUACAAUA